rnacentral:lncRNA from 1 species
CGAAAAGCUCAUAUUUUUACAAUAAAUGAAAUCUAAAAAGUUCAACUUUUUUGAUGAAAAAACAAAGAGGUAAUAAAAAAGAAGAACCUGGUGAAUUGAAGGUAGGGGACGAGGAUAGAUGGCAAUCAGAUAAGAAACCCCCUUCAACAAAGGUUGCAUUUUUGCGGUUUCCGUUGUUGUUGGAUCUCGAUCUUCCUCCUCUGUUUCCACCUCCCAUGGAUGAAAAACCUUACUACAAUUGCACUAUUAGUAUGUAACUAUUGUAUUGUUCGUUUAUGGAUACAAAAAAUGCAAAAUGUAAGAUUCACCCUCCAACAUUAACCCGAUCCAAUAGCAUAUUCCCCCGACCCGAUAGCAUAUACCAUAUUCUUAGGCUAAGUUCAAUCCCACACAUACUACCUAACCUCCCAAUAAUCGAACCAUCGACUUAGUAAUUUAAUGUAGUCUUACACUAUUAGAUCUACUCUAUAUACCUUAAAUCGAACACUCGAUCAUGAUGUAAGUACUAUAUCCAAGAAAGAACAUCUUUAUUCAUUCAACUAAGAGGCGUACCCUAUUUUUCAUAAACCAAUCUUAGAUAAAAUUCAUGACCAAAUAAAAUUGAAACUGUCUCGAAUUAUGUUUGUGAUUUCACUUUGUUAGAAAACAGAAAUACAUAAUUUGUGCAUUAUUUUUAGAGUAUCUCCCAACCAAUAGAAGAAAAACUAAUUAGUAUGAUCACUAAAUAAAAUAGAUUAAGGUGAUGAAAUUAUUUACAUUUUUUUAUUACCACAAUUAAAGUAACUAUAUGUUGGUUCUGAUUAUAACAAAUUUAACCAAACGUGACACAAGUUUCUUGGUUUCUUGUCUGGUGGGUGAUUUGUGUCCUCUAGUGAAUAUGAGAAACUUUUGAGUGUGGAUAUAGCAAUGUUUUGUUUUCACAAGCCCAAGUUAUUCCAUUCUCUUCAUAAAUAUGCUUCUUCCUCCCUUGUUCCAUGAAGCCAUCUUUCUUUGUAGGUGAAAGUUGGUGUUAAAUUAUGGGGAAGAAAAUACUUGUUAUGCUUUGUCUACAAGGAAUGUAUUUCCCUCCAUUUUCCUCCAUUCUAACUUAACGUGUAUCUCUCAUAGAGAAUAUCUUUGGAAAACUAUUUCAAACCAAUCUUGUUUACUUCCUCAACAAGAAGCAAUAAGCUCUUAAUCAUAAAUUAAAUUAAUUAAAGCUAAAUUCCACUUUUGUUCUGGAAUUGGCUCCAACAUUCGCCACAUGUAUAAUAAAAUAUAACUAUAAGAAAGAUCUUAGAAAUAUAUUAAAUUUGGGUAGCAAAGCCUAUAUGUAACCAAAGCCAUAACGUAUGUAACUAAAACACAACAACGUAGACAAUGAAAACAAAGAUUGCUUCUGGCACCAUCGGUAAAUCCAUAUUCCCAAUAAGAAAAAAGAUAUCAAAUAUAUUUUAUUUAACCAAAAUAGAAAGAGAGAUAGAGAGAUAUGUUAACAUUGAUAGUAUAUGAGUUUUACACAUUGUCAAUGCAUUAUUUACUAUUUAUCUUUAAUCAUCUUUGACUCUUAGUAAAUCAAAAUGAAUAAUACAUAAUAAUGUGUUAAUUGUGUAUAAAUCUUUAACGUAUAUAUUAAACUGAAAUAGAAAAGUCGAAGAUGAAUUUGUUUUAUUUGGGGAGGGAAAAAAAGGCAAAGGUAUGGGGAACCUAAAAGUGUAUUGUGGGUAACCUUAUCCCAUUUGUUUGGGUUUCAUUCAAUUUCUACCAACUGUUAGCUGCAAACUAGAUUCAAAUCAUGGACGGCCUAACCCACAAGACACUGCUCCCACAACUCUAAAUUGAAUGUGAAUGUGCCCGUUACCCACAACCAACUUUGUCCAUGUCAUUUCGAAUACUUAAAUCAUGUCUUAACAAUAAAUCAAAAACAAAAAAAAAUAAUAAUGAAUAUUUAUUUUUUAAUUAACAUAUUUUAUAGAUGUAAGAUAUAAUUUGUGACAUAAUUUGAUAAAACACAUUCUUAUUAAGUUGGUUGGAGUUAGGUUUUAAAGAAAAAAUGAAGAUAAGCAUAAACUUUAGUCCUUCCUUUCCAAUACAUAUUUCACAAACACAUCCUAAAAGAUCUUAAAUAAAAAGAAGGAUAAGAAGUACAAGGUUGGAAAUCAAAAUGUUGUAGCUUAUUUAAAUUACUAUCUUCACUGUUGUUCCCAAAACAUGAGUCCUCCUAAUAAUAUACCAACAAAUGCAAGUUACUUUGAUGCUAUGAUGGAAAAAGCUCAUCUGAUCUGUAUGAAAUUACAUGCAUAUUUAACCAGAGACAUGCAGUGAAACAAUGUGGGGAGAUAAGUUAAAAGAUGAAUGUUUUAAUUUUCAAGUACUCGUCAAGUUGUAGAUUCCAGCAAUGUCCACUCUCUAGGAUACUUAUGUGCAUGAGUAGAAUGUGCACCCACACAAUUAUGCAUAACAUCGUGUGAGUUCAAAAUGUACUACUAGCUAUCUGAUUAAGUAGAGUGAAUGAUCUUGCUUGAUUAUGCUGUAUGCAGCAUUGUAUGUAGGACUUAUACUACCUUAUAAAAAAUGGCAUCCCAAUGCACGAGACUCCCACCUCGCGAGGUCUGUAGAGGCAAACAGCCUUACACCCUUACCGUUGUACGAGGCUCACCCUCUUAGGUAGUGCCAUAGUGUUGUGUAUAAUGAGAGUUAUACAAAACAGCUGAAACAUAAUGAACAAUAUAGCACAAGAACCCAUUUAAUGUCAAAGUGAAAGCCUAAACAAUAAAUCAUUUUGUACGUGGAAAACACCAUUUCAGCUACAAGCACAUAUAGAUUGUUCAAAAUAAGCAAAAAUCUGAUUUAUUUUAUUAGGCACAACUGACACCUGAUAUUUUUAUUUACUUAUUCCACUUGUCUUAAAAAUAAUGCAUGAAGUUAAGACAAACCUGAAUAUUAUUAGCUGAAGGGUAAUUAUACCCAAUAGUAGUCCCCAAAUAAGAGUUUGGAACAAUCACUGUUUUAGAAGCAGAAGUUUCUGCUCUAUGUACCCUCCCAGAUUUGGAACCCGAACUUUUCUUCGAGCUACAGUUUCCACCUGCAAUCCAAGAGCAAAAUAAACUUAAAAAAAAACAUUGAAGGAGACAGAUUGAAAAAUAAAAAUACGAAAAAGAUGAAACACAAACACCCAUCAAUUAAAAUCCCGAAAAGCUCAUAUUUUUACAAUAAAUGAAAUCUAAAAAGUUCAACUUUUUUGAUGAAAAAACAAAGAGGUAAUAAAAAAGAAGAACCUGGUGAAUUGAAGGUAGGGGACGAGGAUAGAUGGCAAUCAGAUAAGAAACCCCCUUCAACAAAGGUUGCAUUUUUGCGGUUUCCGUUGUUGUUGGAUCUCGAUCUUCCUCCUCUGUUUCCACCUCCCAU